rnacentral:ncRNA from 10 species
CCAGGAGUGGAGCCUGCGGCUUAAU